UACGGAGGAUGCAAGCGUUAUCCGGAAUGAUUGGGCGUAAAGAGUCCGUAGGUGGUUAUUCAAGUCGAUUGUUAAAGAGCGGGGCUUAACCCCGUAGAAGCAGUGGAAACUGAAUAACUAGAGAGAGGUAGGGGUAGAGGGAAUUCCCGGUGUAGCGGUGAAAUGCGUAGAGAUCGGGAAGAACACCAGUGGCGAAAGCGCUCUACUGGGCCUCAUCUGACGCUGAGGGACGAAAGCUAGGGGAGCGAAAGGG
rnacentral:rRNA from 1 species